rnacentral:rRNA from 1 species
ACGGGAGGCAGCAGUGGGGAAUAUUGGGCAAUGGGCGCAAGCCUGACCCAGCAAUGCCGCGUGAAGGAAGAAGGCUUUCGGGUUGUAAACUUCUUUUAAGAGGGACGAUAAUGACGGUACCUCUUGAAUAAGCUCCGGCUAACUACGUGCCAGCAGCCGCGGUAAUACGUAGGGAGCAAGCGUUAUCCGGAUUUACUGGGUGUAAAGGGCGUGUAGGCGGGACUGCAAGUCAGAUGUGAAAGCACAGGGCUCAACUCUGUGUCUGCAUUUGAAACUGUAGUUCUUGAGUGCUGGAGAGGCUAACGGAAUUCCUAGUGUAGCGGUGAAAUGCGUAGAUAUUAGGAGGAACACCAGUGGCGAAGGCGGUUAGCUGGACAGUAACUGACGCUGAGGCGCGAAAGCGUGGGUAGCAAACAGGAUUAGAUACCCUGGUA